AGAGUUUGAUCAUGGCUCAGAAUCAACGCUGGCGGCGUGCCUAACACAUGCAAGUCGAACGAGAAAGUGGAGCAAUCCAUGAGUAAAGUGGCGCACGGGUGAGUAACACGUGACUAACCUACCCUUGAGUGGGGAAUAACCUAGGGAAACCUGGGCUAAUACCGCAUAACACCUACGGGUCAAAGGAGCAAUUCGCUUAAGGAGGGGGUCGCGGCAGAUUAGUUAGUUGGCGGGGUAAUGGCCCACCAAGGCAGUGAUCUGUAUCCGGCCUGAGAGGGCGCACGGACACACUGGAACUGAAACACGGUCCAGACUCCUACGGGAGGCAGCAGUGGGGAAUUUUGCGCAAUGGGGGAAACCCUGACGCAGCAACGCCGCGUGGAGGAUGAAGUCCCUUGGGACGUAAACUCCUUUCGACCGGGAAGAUUAUGACGGUACCGGAAGAAGAAGCCCCGGCUAACUUCGUGCCAGCAGCCGCGGUAAUACGAGGGGGGCAAGCGUUGUUCGGAAUUAUUGGGCGUAAAGGGUGCGUAGGCGGUUCGGUAAGUCUCGUGUGAAAUCUUCGGGCUCAACUCGAAGUCUGCACGAGAAACUGCCGGGCUUGAGUGUGGGAGAGGUGAGUGGAAUUUCCGGUGUAGCGGUGAAAUGCGUAGAUAUCGGAAGGAACACCUGUGGCGAAAGCGGCUCACUGGACCACAACUGACGCUGAGGCACGAAAGCUAGGGGAGCAAACAGGAUUAGAUACCCUGGUAGUCCUAGCCCUAAACGAUGAUCGCUUGGUGUGACGGGUACCCAAUCCCGCCGUGCCGAAGCUAACGCGUUAAGCGAUCCGCCUGGGGAGUACGGUCGCA
rnacentral:rRNA from 1 species